rnacentral:lncRNA from 1 species
UUAACACCAAUUCACUAAUAUCGCCUUCAAGAAUAACAUCAAUUCAACCAAUUAACAUACAUCACAUCUCAAUGUAUUUACAAUGCAGAACCUCAUAACCCAUCAAUUUCAUCCUUACGAAAACAAACUUACAACAACGUAGAGACAGCGGCACACAAAACUAAAGCAAACGAGAUUGUGCAGAAAAUUUGAGCAUGGGUCGACUUCAAAUCCGCGGCUGGAAGGUGAGGAGGUAAGUGACGACACUCCGGCAGACCAACGGCUCGGAAGAAUCGGGCGACAGCUUUGCGAACGAACGGCGCGCGGCAGAGAAACGGGAUACGGCGGAGAGACGAUGCGGCGUGGCCUGGGCUUCGCGAGGCUGUUCGCGAACGGAGACAGAGACGGCGGCCGACAGUUGCAGACGGCGGCUGGGUUUCAGUUUCGGCGAAUGGAAAAGAAUGGGCGGUUGCUGGCUGAAGGGAGGAGGAAAAACUGAAGAAAAGAAAAGAGAAAAGAAGAAGAGAAGAGAAAGAAAAGACGAGAAAGAAAGAAAGAAAAAAUAAAUAAAUAAAAGAGUG